rnacentral:tRNA from 1 species
AAAGAUUUAGUUAAAACUUUAUAACAUUAGAAUGUCAAACUAAAAUUAUUUUAAAGAUAAUCUUUU